ACACAGAACAUAGAAGCCAGAAUAGAUCCCCAUAACCGCACGUGGGAAAAUAUGCCUUGGACAUGAAAUAUAUCUUUCUUUUUUUUCAUAACCGCCAUGGAGGCUUGUAUCUUUUUUAAUUCCGACUACUGAGUUCUGACUACUGAAUUCUUCACUAAAAAUAAAACCGACUGCUUGUGUCAAUAAAAACAGCCGGUUAAAUAUUUAUGAUGAUAAUUCGAUUUUAGGCUUCUCUAUUCAAAAAGUUUUGUAGUUGAUUUAAAGCAGCAGCACCAAUGUUAAACGCAGCCCAACCAGCAGCAAUCAGAACUGGCGCUAAAACAAUUGCUACACGC
rnacentral:misc_RNA from 1 species